CCUCCAUUCUUGGCAUGCUUGUGGUUGUUUUGUACUCUUGUUUGUAUGUAUGGAGGAAUAUUAGUUCCAGUGUAAUGUCUUCGGUGCCAGUAUGUUCCCGUCAACUGGUUCUAUCCUCAAUCACUGGGACACAU